rnacentral:misc_RNA from 1 species
UGAAUUUGAGUGGGAAAACAAGGUCGCUGUGAAUACAAUAAUUCAAGACGAGAAGGAAUUUCUGAAUCACAUUAUGAAGUCCACGAAUAUGAAGUGCUUGACACCAAUAUCGGCAUUAGAAGGUGAAUGUGGUUUUCUUGCUGCUAACCUUUAUGCAAAGAGUGUUUUUGGAGAAGAUGCUUUGGUGAAUGUGAGCAUUGAAAAGCAAGUAGACAACAAGUUGAGUGGGUACAUCAGGAUAAGAAGCAAG